UAAACCUGAAGAAAUGUUUUAAUUUCAGUGCUGUUGUGUAACGCAUGAUGGCAAUACUAUCACUUAUAAAGGGAUCAGGAAUAGUGUGUGCUUUUCGAGUGAUAAGGGAUAGACCAUAGAGGAUAGGGCGCCAGUUUGCAGAACGCAGGUAUUAUUAUUAUAUUACUGAACUCUUGAACUAAGUUUGUUUUUCGAGAAACAAUUAAAGUUUUAUUCAGCUCAG